AUUGAACGCUGGCGGCAGGCCUAACACAUGCAAGUCGAGCGGCAGCGGGAAAGUAGCUUGCUACUUUUGCCGGCGAGCGGCGGACGGGUGAGUAAUGCCUGGGAAAUUGCCCAGUCGAGGGGGAUAACAGUUGGAAACGACUGCUAAUACCGCAUACGCCCUACGGGGGAAAGCAGGGGACCUUCGGGCCUUGCGCGAUUGGAUAUGCCCAGGUGGGCUUAGCUAGUUGGUGAGGUAAUGGCUCACCAAGGCGACGAUCCCUAGCUGGUCUGAGAGGAUGAUCAGCCACACUGGAACUGAGACACGGUCCAGACUCCUACGGGAGGCAGCAGUGGGGAAUAUUGCACAAUGGGGGAAACCCUGAUGCAGCCAUGCCGCGUGUGUGAAGAAGGCCUUCGGGUUGUAAAGCACUUUCAGCGAGGGGGAAAGGUUGAUGCCUAAUACGUAUCAACUGUGACGUUACUCGCAGAAGAAGCACCGGCUAACUCCGUGCCAGCAGCCGCCGCAGUAA
rnacentral:rRNA from 1 species